ACUCUGGUUGAUCCUGCCAGAGGUUACUGCUAUCGGUGUUCGACUAAGCCAUGCGAGUCAAAUGUUCUUCGUGAACAUGGCGGACUGCUCAGUAACACGUGGAUAACCUGCCCUUAGGUUUGGCAUAACUCCGGGAAACUGGAGAUAAUUCCGAAUAGGUCAAAUAUGCUGGAAUGCUUUUUGGCCAAAAGACCUCGGUUGCCUAAGGAUGGAUCU
rnacentral:rRNA from 1 species